UGCCAGCACUGCCGCAUUGCGUUUAUGGUCGACCGAGAGUGAGAAAUGAGAAUCUGAAAAUGAGAGAUGGGGGGUGUGAUAGAAUAGAGAUCGACGGAUGGAUAAACAAAAACAAACAGAAGCAAAAUAAGAGCUGUAAUAGGUAGUGCGUAAAGUGAUUGAAAUUGGAAUUUAGAUAAAUUUGUGAAAGAUAGUGUAGUGCGACGUUAGACGAUUGUGAACUUUUGAGUCAACUACAACCGUAAGUUCAUGCACAUAAAUUAGAUGUUGAACUAACAAAACAAAUGUCAUGUACGAUACAGGGGCGCAUAGACAACGGAUGCACGAUUUGGAAAUUGAGUGUACGAAGGACAGUGAAUCGCUUGAAAAGAGAGGAGAAGAAGUGGAAAAGGGAAGAAACCAAACUAAACUUGUAAGUCGAAACACACUGAAUUAUGUUAAAUCUGUACACGGGCUCACAUAUAAUUAUUCUCUUUAAUUUAUUAUAAUUACAGUUUGAUCUGCUAACAUUAGCUGAUUCACAAAAAAUAGUUGGUUCUUAGUAAUCCGAACAAAAUCAAAAAGUUUAUGAUAAGAUUCUUCGGAAUGACUUCUUCACCUUCCAAGGACGAACAAUGUCUGGUUUGCUCCAAAACGGAACCGGAUUCCAUUGAAACCCAGUGGGUUCAAUGUAGAAAAUGUGAGCAUUGGGCUCAUUUUUCGUGUGCUGGAGUAGACCAAGAGAUCGACAACACCGAUUGGCGCUGUCGAAAGUGUGUUUCUGCCAGUGCUCGACAGCUAAAAGUUCCAGAUGCAGGACGCAGUAAGCGAGGUAGUAAGAAGUCCGGCCAGAAAAGCGACGGAGGGUCCGAACAGGAAGUUGGUUCCGACGUGGAUCCAGUUGAGAAGCAGCUGGAAGAAGAACAACUUGCCAAGCAGAAGACUUUCAUGAAGCAAAUGACGGCGCGGAGGAAGCUACUCGCUCAGCAGAAAGCGUGGAAUGAGGAGCAACUGAGGCAGGAGCAGGAGAUGCGUGAGCUGGAACUCCAGGUACAACGAGAAAUGGAGAUGCAGCAGUUGGCGCAUGAACAAAAGAUGCUGGAUGCCCAACUGGCUGCGGAGAAGGAUUUUUUGAGGAAACGGGAUGCUAUUCGAAAGCAAUUUGAGAGCAGUAUGAGCAGGGUCAACGCGUUGAAAGAUCAAGAAGGUACAGAAGGCGAAAAGGAUUUACCGCAAGCUAGUAACAAAACCGAUUACAACCUGAAAUGGAAACCAGUGAAGAAAAUAACAGUGACCACCGAUACUGACAUUGAAUCAACCGAUAGUGAGUCAUCAGAAGAGUAUCGGGUAAGAAACAGUUUUCGCAGUAGUCGUCGCGGAAGCCCCCGCAGAUGCAUGCACGGCAGCAAAGUUGGUUACGGGUCGGGGCCAAAAGUUGGCCGAAUUUCGAGGGAGCAGCUUGCCGCACGGAAAGCGGUGUCCCAGCACCUUCCGACAUUUCGUGGAGAACCAGAAGCCUGGCCAUUAUUUAUAAGCAGCUUUGAACAUACGACAGUAGCGUGUGGUUUUUCCAAUUUGGAGAACUUGAAGAGGCUUCAAGACUGCUUACAAGGAGACGCUUUAGAAGCAGUUAGAAGCCGACUCGUGUUGCCGGAGUCCGUACCGGACGUAAUAUGCGAUCUCCGAAAUCUCUUUGGUAGACCGGAGAAGCUACUAAAAACGUUGGUGACCAAGGUGAGAAAUGCUCCAGCACCGCGAGCUGAUAGGCUGGAGACGUUCAUCACUUUCGGAAUUACGGUGAAGCAGUUAUGUGACCAUCUUGAGGCAGCGGGACUAAAAGACCACCUUAAUAAUCCGAUGUUGGUGCAAGAAUUGGUUGACAAAUUGCCGCCAAGCUACAAACUAGAAUGGGUGCGGUACAAGCGAGGGAAGAUAAGCAGUCCACUGAGGUUGUUUACGAACUUUGCUACAGAAAUAGUGUCCGAUGUGUCCGAAGUUACAGAGUUUUGUACGCUGUCGGUGAGUGAUCGUGAAUGUAGGCGUGAGUAUCCCCGAAAAGAGUCCUCGCAUGUACAUGAUUCGGACCAAAGGUGGAAUGAGGAAACUCACAGUGAAGCAUCCACCCGGGCUUGUUGGUCUUGUGGGCAAACGGACCAUGUAAUGAGGAACUGUGAAGAGUUCCGAAGGAUGAGUAUCGCGGAAAGGCUGGAGGAGGUGGAAAAUCUGGGACUCUGUGGAAUUUGCUUGAAUAAGCACGGUGGUAGUCACUGUUUUUCAAGCAUCCAAUGUAAUGUGCGAGACUGCCGAGGUAACCACCAUCCCCUAUUGCAUCGAGUGGAGGAAUCAGUGCAGCUACAAAAAGCUAACUCGAACUGCGCUGUAAUCUUCCGAAUGAUACCAAUCACGCUACAUGUAGGCAACAGGCAGAUCGACACCGUUGCAUUCCUGGACGAAGGAUCAUCUGCCACGUUGGUAGAUGAUACGGUGGCUAAGCGACUAAACGCAAAGGGAGUUCGCGAGCCGUUGAUAGUUACUUGGACCGGAAAUAUCAAUCGGUACGAGAAUGAAUCUCGAUGCGUUGAAAUGAUGGUGUCUGCAAGAGGUUCAAUGGAGAAGUUUUCUCUGUAUAAUGCGCGUACGGUGACCGAGCUACAGCUACCAAAACAGGAUGUUCGGUACGCUGAGGUGGCAAGGCGUUACGCCCAUCUUGCUGAUGUGCCUGUGGAUGACUCUCCGACUGGAGUGCCCACCGUUCUUGUCGGGUUGGACAAUCUCCAUCUCUUUGCACCGCAAGAGUCAAGGAUUGGGAGAGCGAGAGAACCUAUAGCUGUGCGGUCCAAGUUGGGUUGGACAAUUUACGGAUCUGAAAAGCGGAGAGCCGAAGCGCAUACUUAUGUAAAUGUGCAUUCUGUUCGAACUGGACUCGAAGAAAUCAGCCAGAACGAAGAGACAAAAGUGAAGCUAGCUAACCCAGGUUGCAACACACGGUGGAGUGAGACUGAUCGUUCAACUAGAUCGAAGGUAAGGGUGCAACAACUUCAGAAAAUGUAUAGCGAAGAAAGAAGACAAAAUAAGUGUAUAGACGGUCAGAAGCUCACACGGAAAGCAAGAAGAUUCCAACGAUCGAGGGUUCCAAAUCAAUUCGAAAGAAACCAGCAAGCGACAGUGGCUAGAAUGGAAAUCAACUGUGGUAACCCUGAGCCGGAUGCAGACUCCGAGACAGUGUUACGGGCCGGGGAAUGUUCUGCCAGCACUGCCGCAUUGCGUUUAUGGUCGACCGAGAGUGAGAAAUGAGAAUCUGAAAAUGAGAGAUGGGGGGUGUGAUAGAAUAGAGAUCGACAGAUGGAUAAACAAAAACAAACAGAAGCAAAAUAAGAGCUGUAAUAGGUAGUGCGUAAAGUGAUUGAAAUUGGAAUUUAGAUAAAUUUGUGAAAGAUAGUGUAGUGCGACGUUAGACGAUUGUGAACUUUUGAGUCAACUACAACCGGGCGCAUAGACAACGGAUGCACGAUUUGGAAAUUGAGUGUACGAAGGACAGUGAAUCGCUUGAAAAGAGAGGAGAAGAAGUGGAAAAGGGAAGAAACCAAACUAAACUUGUAAGUCGAAACACACUGAAUUAUGUUAAAUCUGUACACGGGCUCACAUAUAAUUAUUCUCUUUAAUUUAUUAUAAUUACAGUUUGAUCUGCUAACAUUAGCUGAUUCACAAAAAAUAGUUGGUUCUUAGUAAUCCGAACACCGC